UCGAACGCGUCUCCGUUAAUGAUGUUAGGUGCUUGCAUUUGAAAGAUUUAACAUUGAGACGAGUGGCGAACUGGUGAGUAACACGUGGGUAACCUGCCCUUGAAGUAGGGGAUAACACUUGGAAACAGGUGCUAAUACCGUAUAACAACCAAAACCACCUGGUUUUGGUUUAAAAGACGGCUUCGGCUGUCACUUUAGGAUGGACCCGCGGCGUAUUAGCUUGUUGGUAAGGUAACGGCCUACCAAGGCGAUGAUACGUAGCCGACCUGAGAGGGUAAUCGGCCACAUUGGGACUGAGACACGGCCCAAACUCCUACGGGAGGCAGCAGUAGGGAAUCUUCCACAAUGGACGAAAGUCUGAUGGAGCAACGCCGCGUGAGUGAUGAAGGGUUUCGGCUCGUAAAACUCUGUUGUUGGAGAAGAACAGGUGUCAGAGUAACUGUUGACAUCUUGACGGUAUCCAACCAGAAAGCCACGGCUAACUACGUGCCAGCAGCCGCGGUAAUACGUAGGUGGCAAGCGUUGUCCGGAUUUAUUGGGCGUAAAGCGAGCGCAGGCGGUUUUUUAGGUCUGAUGUGAAAGCCUUCGGCUUAACCGGAGAAGUGCAUCGGAAACCGGGAGACUUGAGUGCAGAAGAGGACAGUGGAACUCCAUGUGUAGCGGUGAAAUGCGUAGAUAUAUGGAAGAACACCAGUGGCGAAGGCGGCUGUCUGGUCUGUAACUGACGCUGAGGCUCGAAAGCAUGGGUAGCGAACAGGAUUAGAUACCCUGGUAGUCCAUGCCGUAAACGAUGAGUGCUA
rnacentral:rRNA from 1 species